GCGUGCCUAAUACAUGCAAGUCGAGCGAAUGGAUUAAGAGCUUGCUCUUAUGAAGUUAGCGGCGGACGGGUGAGUAACACGUGGGUAACCUGCCCAUAAGACUGGGAUAACUCCGGGAAACCGGGGCUAAUACCGGAUAAUAUUUUGAACCGCAUGGUUCAAAAUUGAAAGGCGGCUUCCGCUGUCACUUAAGGAUGGACCCGCGUCGCAUUAGCUAGAUGGUGAGGUAACGGCUCACCAAGGUAACUAUGCGUACCCAACCUGUGAGGGUGAUCGUCCACACUGAGACUGAUACACGACUCAUACUCCUACGGGAGGCAGCAGUAGGGAAUCUUCCGCAAUGGACGAAAGUCUGACGGAGCACCGCGGCGUGGGUGUUGAAGGCUUUUGGGUUGUAAAAAUCUGUUGUUAUGGAAAAACAAGUGCUAGGAGAAUAAUUUGUCACCUUGACGGUUCCUUACCAGAAAGCCACGGGUAACUACGUGCCAGCCGCCGCGGUAAUACGUAGGGGGCAAGCGUUAUCUGGAAUUAUUGGGCGUAAAGCGGGCGCAGGUGGUUUCUUAAGUCUGAUGUGAAAGCCCCCGGCUCAACCGUGGAGGGUCAUUGGAAACUGGGAGACUUGAGUUCAGAAGAGGAAAGUGGAAUUCCAUGUGUAGCGGUGAAAUGCGUAGAGAUAUGGAGGAACACCAGUGGCGAAGGCGACUUUCUGGUCUGUAACUGACACUGAGGCGCGAAAGCGUGGGGAGCAAACAGGAUUAGAUACCCUGGUAGUCCCCGCCGUAAACGAUGAGUGCUAAGUGUUAGAGGGUUUCCGCCCUUUAGUGCUGAAGUUAACGCAUUAAGCACUCCGCCUGGGGAGU
rnacentral:rRNA from 2 species